AUUCCAGCUCCAAUAGCGUAUAUUAAAGUUGUUGCAGUUAGAACGCUCGUAGUCGGAUUUCGGGGCGGGCCGACCGGUCUGCCGAUGGGUACGCACUGGUCGGCGCGUCCUUCCUUCCGGAGACCGUGCCUACUCUUAACUGAGCGGGGGCGGGAGACGGAUCGUUUACUUUGAAAAAAUCAGAGUGUUUCAAGCAGGCAGCUCGCUCUUGCAUGGAUUAGCAUGGGAUAAUGAAAUAGGACUCUGGUGCUAUUUUGUUGGUUUCGAACACCGGAGUAAUGAUUAACAGGGACAGUCAGGGGCACUCGUAUUCCGUCGAGAGAGGUGAAAUUCUCAGACCAAUGGAAGACGAACCACUGCGAAAGCAUUUGCCAGGGAUGUUUUCAUUA
rnacentral:rRNA from 1 species